UCUCGACAUCAUUAAAAAUGUACUUUUAUUUUUAUAUAGAUUUAAAAACCAUUCAUACUUCAACAGGAAAAAAUCUUCUAGUUUCUGGAUGGUGGGGCUUUGUUCGCCACCCCAAUUACUUGGGUGACCUCAUCAUGGCCUUGGCGUGGUCCCUCGCAUGUGGUUUUAACCACAUUCUGCCUUAUUUCUACAUAAUUUAUUUCACCAUGUUGCUUGUCCACCGAGAAGCUCGUGACGAGUACCACUGUAAGAAGAAAUACGGCGUGGCUUGGGAAAAGUACUGUCAGCGUGUGCCCUACCGUAUAUUUCCAUACAUCUACUAAUGCUCUUCUGGCUUAUUUACAAAAUACUCCUGCAAUUCCAGCUGCCAUUUGCAAAAACAAGGAAGAAAAUCCGAAAUUUUCUUUUGUUGCACUGACAGGAUCUGUAAAUUUUUUUUUCUUUUUGAGUCAGGACUAUAGAGCCGAGUAGUUGAUCUUUUAAUAUAGCCGUGUUUACUUUUAUUAAAUUACAGUUAACAUAGGAAAAAUACAAGU
rnacentral:sRNA from 1 species